rnacentral:lncRNA from 1 species
GUUUCCAGUAUACGAAUAUACGAUAUACAGUGAAGCUCUCACUUGAGUGAACUUCAAGGGACACAAGGAAGUAGUUCAUUAAACUGAA